rnacentral:rRNA from 1 species
UCCCAGACUCCUACGGGAGGCAGCAGUAGGGAAUAUUGCACAAUGGGGGAAACCCUGAUGCAGCGACGCCGCGUGAGCGAAGAAGUACCUCGGUAUGUAAAGCUCUAUCAGCAGGGAAGAAGAUGACGGUACCUGACCAAGAAGCUCCGGCUAAAUACGUGCCAGCAGCCGCGGUAAUACGUAUGGAGCAAGCGUUAUCCGGAUUUACUGGGUGUAAAGGGAGCGUAGACGGUUAUGCAAGUCUGAAGUGAAAGCCCAAGGCUCAACCAUGGGACUGCUCUUGGAACUGCGCGGCUGGAGUGCAGGAGGGGCAGGCGGAAUUCCUGGUGUAGCGGUGAAAUGCGUAGAUAUCAGGAGGAACACCGGUGGCGAAGGCGGCCUGCUGGACUGCGACUGACGUUGAGGCCCGAAAGCGUGGGGAGCAAACAGGAUUAGAUACCCGGGUA